GGGUGUGAUCAUACCAGCACUAAUGCACCGGAUCCUAUCAGAACUUCGAAGUUCAGCGUUUGAGGGAGAAUAGUUCUAAGAUGGACUUGUCUUAUGACUUUUA
rnacentral:rRNA from 1 species